GUUUUCUCUCCUUUUAGUUAGUUUACAGAGAAAAACUGAGAAGAUCAAUACUUAUAAGAAAGAAAACAGAGAACUUUACUUCCUGAAGAAAUAUCCAUUUGGGAACAGAAGAAAAUAAAAAGGCCCUGGAAGACAAGUGUAAUGCAUUGAGGACUGUGAAAGCAACAAAGGAAGCAAAAGUCAAACAGCUGAAGGAGAAAGCAUAUCACCUAGAAGAAUUCUAUGAACAAAGAAAAGUGGCUACAGAAGAGAAGCUGAGAAUGAUAGUGUGAACUGAUGGCAAAGAAGAAUCAGCUGGCAGCUGCAGGUAA